AUUGAACGCUGGCGGCAGGCCUAACACAUGCAAGUCGAACGGUAACAGGAAACAGCUUGCUGUUUCGCUGACGAGUGGCGGACGGGUGAGUAAUGUCUGGGAAACUGCCUGAUGGAGGGGGAUAACUACUGGAAACGGUAGCUAAUACCGCAUAACGUCGCAAGACCAAAGAGGGGGACCUUCGGGCCUCUUGCCAUCGGAUGUGCCCAGAUGGGAUUAGCUAGUAGGUGGGGUAACGGCUCACCUAGGCGACGAUCCCUAGCUGGUCUGAGAGGAUGACCAGCCACACUGGAACUGAGACACGGUCCAGACUCCUACGGGAGGCAGCAGUGGGGAAUAUUGCACAAUGGGCGCAAGCCUGAUGCAGCCAUGCCGCGUGUAUGAAGAAGGCCUUCGGGUUGUAAAGUACUUUCAGCGGGGAGGAAGGGAGUAAAGUCAAUACCUUUGCUCAUUGACAUUACCCGCAGAAGAAGCGCCGGCUAACUCCGUGCCAGCCGCCGCGGUAA
rnacentral:rRNA from 1 species